rnacentral:rRNA from 1 species
GAUGAACGCUGGCGGCGUGCCUAAUACAUGCAAGUCGAGCGAACGGACGAGAAGCUUGCUUCUCUGAUGUUAGCGGCGGACGGGUGAGUAACACGGGGAUAAACUACCUAUAAAACUGGGAUAACUUCGGGAAACCGGAGCUAAUACCGGAUAAUAUUAUGAACCGCAUGGUUCAAAAGUGAAAGACUGUCUUGCUGUCACUUAUAGAUGGAUCCGCGCUGCAUUAGCUAGUUGGUAAGGUUACGGCUUACCAAGGCUACGAUGCAUAGCCGACCUGAGAGGGUGAUCGGCCACACGGGAACUGAGACACGGUCCAGACUCCUACGGGAGGCAGCAGUAGGGAAUCUUCCGCAAUGGGCGAAAGCCUGACGGAGCAACGCCGCGUGAGUGAUGAAGGUCUUCGGAUCGUAAAACUCUGUUAUUAGGGAAGAACAUAUGUGUAAGUAACUGUGCACAUCUUGACGGUACCUAAUCAGAAAGCCACGGCUAACUACGUG